UCUGACAACUGCACAAUUGGUUUAGAAUCCCGACGACCUAAGUGACAUUUUCUCGAGAAAAUAGCGGUCGAAAAAAUUCAAAAAAAAAAUCGGAGGAGAAACCAAAAAAUGGAGCUGCUCAAGCUGUCAAAAUUCAAAUUGCAGCUUCAAUCGAUGAUCGGAGAAGUGAGAGAUCUGCGUGAAAGGGAGCGAUCAGUCACAGAUCACUUGAAUCUCAUCAAUCAGAAGCAAACGGAGGAGGAAUGCAGCAGGAAAGUGCUCGAGCUAGAAUCUGAGUUAGCUUCUUCUAGAGAAACUCAAGAGGCGCUCGAGAGGAAGGUGAGUUAUCUCCAGAACGACUAUAGUUUGCUGGAAAACAAGCAGAGCGAAUUGAAGAAUACUAUUCAAAACCUGCUUCAAUCGCGAGAAAGUUUCUUAAAUGCUUACCAGGAGUCGUUUAGUGAAAUGAGAUGUUCAGUUGAGGCCAGGGAUAGGAAGAUUGCUAUCCUUCACCAGAAGAUAACAUCUCACUUAGCAUUGUUUGAUUCAAUUGAGAAAGAGGCGUCUGCAAUCAAGAACGUUAUUCAGGAAGUUCAGGGCCUUGUGGAUCAAAAGGAAGAUGUAGUGGCUGGAUUGAGAGAGAGAAUGGACCAUGUCUCUACGUAUGAGAAAGUAUUCGUCGAGAAAAUCAGCACCUUAGAAGAGAAAAUUGAGUACCAGGAAGCAGAAUUGCAGAGCAAGGAUAAUAGAAUAUCAGAGCUUUGCGCUCAGCUGGAAGAAGCGAAGAUGAAAAACGAAUAUCAACUUCAAAUCGAAGAGUUUCAGAAAACUUUGAAGGUCAAAGAUUUAGUUGUGGAGAACUUGGUUUCUGAGAAGGAGGCAUUGCAUUCUGAAGUGAGGAGUCUAGAGAUGAUCUUACUGCGGAUUCAGGAAUCUGUCACCCUUAUGACCGAAGAGGACAGAAGGGUGUUCACAUCAAUACUGACAUACGAACAAGGUGCCGAUGACAAAAACAACAAUUCAAGGUACAAUGACACAGUUGACAAAACGGAGGAACUUGCAUGUGAAGCUCCUAUUGUGGGUUCCCAAGAAAAUUCAGUAAACGUUAUUUCAUCAGCGUCUCCUCGGUGUCCUCACCAAAACACAGGCUGCAGUUUGGUACAGGACGCUGAUCAUAGGCUGAACUCGGCGCAGUCUCUGCAGCAUAACACUGUCAGUGGCCAUAGGCAGAGUACUAAUAACAAUGACCACUUUGACACCAAGGACAAGUGCAAAGAGUUAACGAACCAGCCUGAUUCAGAGUGCUCAACUAAUCGUGUAUAAUAAGGGAAGUGUCUAAUCACGAUUUAUGAUCGUUACCACUUAUUAAAGUUAUUCUCUUGUACACGACUAGUUAGGACUCGGGUCAUAUAAACGACAAGAAUCAUGAGUUUUCUACUCUCACACGCAAUGAACUAGACGUAGAGAAAAGGUAUUUUUCUUUACAUUUUCAUAAAGAUUGGAAACUAAAUAUAGGUCUUUCAUUUUCUUUUUAAAUAGACUCUUCCUUUUCCAUAAGAUCCAUUUUUUCUAGGUGAGAUAUUUAAAUUUAACUGACCGGAGAUUGUAAUCUAAUGGUUUAAACCAGCUUGUCCCUGAGCGCCAUUAUUAUUUAAAUAAAUCUUAUGUGUUAUGAAAUAAAGAGAGAUAUUUUGUGACGAUUC